GCCUAAUACAUGCAAGUCGAACGAACUCUGGUAUUGAUUGGUGCUUGCAUCAUGAUUUACAUUUGAGUGAGUGGCGAACUGGUGAGUAACACGUGGGAAACCUGCCCAGAAGAGGGGGAUAACACCUGGAAACAGAUGCUAAUACCGCAUAACAACUUGGACCGCAUGGUCCGAGUUUGAAAGAUGGCUUCGGCUAUCACUUUUGGAUGGUCCCGCGGCGUAUUAGCUAGAUGGUGAGGUAACGGCUCACCAUGGCAAUGAUACGUAGCCGACCUGAGAGGGUAAUCGGCCACAUUGGGACUGAGACACGGCCCAAACUCCUACGGGAGGCAGCAGUAGGGAAUCUUCCACAAUGGACGAAAGUCUGAUGGAGCAACGCCGCGUGAGUGAAGAAGGGUUUCGGCUCGUAAAACUCUGUUGUUAAAGAAGAACAUAUCUGAGAGUAACUGUUCAGGUAUUGACGGUAUUUAACCAGAAAGCCACGGCUAACUACGUGCCAGCAGCCGCGGUAAUACGUAGGUGGCAAGCGUUGUCCGGAUUUAUUGGGCGUAAAGCGAGCGCAGGCGGUUUUUUAAGUCUGAUGUGAAAGCCUUCGGCUCAACCGAAGAAGUGCAUCGGAAACUGGGAAACUUGAGUGCAGAAGAGGACAGUGGAACUCCAUGUGUAGCGGUGAAAUGCGUAGAUAUAUGGAAGAACACCAGUGGCGAAGGCGGCUGUCUGGUCUGUAACUGACGCUGAGGCUCGAAAGUAUGGGUAGCAAACAGGAUUAGAUACCCUGGUAGUCCAUACCGUAAACGAUGAAUGCUAAGUGUUGGAGGGUUUCCGCCCUUCAGUGCUGCAGCUAACGCAUUAAGCAUUCCGCCUGGGGAGUACGGCCGCAAGGCUGAAACUCAAAGGAAUUGACGGGGGCCCGCACAAGCGGUGGAGCAUGUGGUUUAAUUCGAAGCUACGCGAAGAACCUUACCAGGUCUUGACAUACUAUGCAAAUCUAAGAGAUUAGACGUUCCCUUCGGGGACAUGGAUACAGGUGGUGCAUGGUUGUCGUCACCUCCUGUCGUGAGAUGUUGGGUUAAGUCCCGCAACGAGCGCACCCUUAUUAUCAUUUGCCAGCAUUAAGUUGGGCCCUCUGGUGAAACUGCCGGUGACAACCGGAGAAAGGUGGGGAUGACGUCAAAUCUUCAUGCCCCUUAUGACCUGGGCUCC
rnacentral:rRNA from 1 species